UACGUAGGGCGCAAGCGUUAUCCGGAAUUAUUGGGCGUAAAGAGCUCGUAGGCGGUUUGUCGCGUCUGCCGUGAAAGUCCGGGGCUCAACUCCGGAUCUGCGGUGGGUACGGGCAGACUAGAGUGAUGUAGGGGGAGACUGGAAUUCCUGGUGUAGCGGUGAAAUGCGCAGAUAUCAGGAGGAACACCGAUGGCGAAGGCAGGUCUCUGGGCCACUACUGACGCUGAGAAGCGAAAGCAUGGGGGAGCGAACAGG
rnacentral:rRNA from 1 species